rnacentral:rRNA from 1 species
AACGAACGCUGGCGGCAUGCCUAACACAUGCAAGUCGAACGAGACCUUCGGGUCUAGUGGCGCACGGGUGCGUAACGCGUGGGAACCUGCCCUUAGGUUCGGAAUAACUCCCCGAAAGGGGUGCUAAUACCGGAUAAUGUCUUCGGACCAAAGAUUUAUGGCCUUUGGAUGGGCCCGCGUUGGAUUAGCUAGUUGGUAGGGUAAAAGCCUACCAAGGCGACGAUUCAUAGCUGGUCUGAGAGGAUGAUCAGCCACACUGGGACUGAGACACGGCCCAGACUCCUACGGGAGGCAGCAGUGGGGAAUAUUGGACAAUGGGCGAAAGCCUGAUCCAGCAAUGCCGCGUGAGUGAUGAAGGCCUUAGGGUUGUAAAGCUCUUUUACCCGGGAUGAUAAUGACAGUACCGGGAGAAUAAGCUCCGGCUAACUCCGUG